AGCGAACGCUGGCGGCAGGCCUAACACAUGCAAGUCGAACGAACUCUUCGGAGUUAGUGGCGGACGGGUGAGUAACACGUGAGAACGUGCCUUUUGGUUCGGAAUAACUCAGGGAAACUUGUGCUAAUACCGAAUGUGCCCUUCGGGGGAAAGAUUUAUCGCCAUUAGAGCGGCCCGCGUCUGAUUAGCUAGUUGGUGAGGUAACGGCUCACCAAGGCGACGAUCAGUAGCUGGUCUGAGAGGAUGACCAGCCACACUGGGACUGAGACACGGCCCAGACUCCUACGGGAGGCAGCAGUGGGGAAUCUUGCGCAAUGGGCGAAAGCCUGACGCAGCCAUGCCGCGUGAAUGAUGAAGGUCUUAGGAUUGUAAAAUUCUUUCACCGGGGACGAUAAUGACGGUACCCGGAGAAGAAGCCCCGGCUAACUUCGUG
rnacentral:rRNA from 1 species